rnacentral:rRNA from 1 species
GACGAACCGUGCAAACGUUGUUCGGAAUCACUGGGCUUAAAGGGCGCGUAGGCGGCGAAUCAAGUCCGGGGUGAAAUCUUUCGGCUCAACCGGAAAAGGGCCUUGGAUACUGGUUCGCUCGAGGGAGGUAGGGGCAUGUGGAACUUCCGGUGGAGCGGUGAAAUGCGUUGAUAUCGGAAGGAACGCCGGUGGCGAAAGCGACGUGCUGGACCUCUACUGACGCUGAUGCGCGAAAGCCAGGGGAGCAAACGGG